AGCUCCAGCCCCAGCGCGUCGGCGAAACGCACUCUCUUGCGAGUGUCAGGGCUGCGGCUGCGGGCUGUCCGCGCCCCGCCACCACCCGCGGGCGCAGAGCGGGCCCUGCGCCCCCGACCCGGAACGUGAGCCCGCGAGCGGGCGCCUGGCCGGGUCCCGCCCUCCCCGGGCUCCUCCUCCGACUCCUCCUCGAGGCUGGGCCGCUGGCUGCGGUAGUACGCCCGCUCGGUCAAUGCCGCUAUAAAGCUCAGGUUGCGGGGUAUAUCCGUGCGCGGUGGCCGCUCGUGGGACAUGUCACCCCUGAGCCCCAGCGGGGCUAGCGCACAGUGCCCGGCGCGUCCUCGCUCUGCUGCCGGCUCUAUGCCCGAGCAUAAGGUGUAGGUAGGGCUGCUCAGCAGCAGCUGGCUGCGGACUCUCCUUGCUGUCAGCCCGCGUACCCUGCCUGCUCGGUUUCCUUGACCAUCUUUCCCUUCCUUUGGCGGCCAGCCCCGGUGUCAGACUAUCCGUCCUGCUCGCUUCCAGCUCUCUGCUCUGAGCGUGCGCUCAGCGGCGCCGCUCACCCUUCAGUUCUGCGGGCCUCGCUGACCCGGCCCCCGCCCACAGCCCUCUGACAGGUGGCUGGUAUCCAUCUUCACUGCUGCACCAGGGGGCGUGACUGCUUCCAUCUGGGGUCCCAGAUGAGUUACUCCUAUAUAAGAAGGGUUAAAGCAGGAAGAAAAGAGUAACCUUUCCUUUUUCUUUUUUUUCUUUUGGCACGGGAAAAUUAAAAAUGCUGAGGGUUUAAUUCUCCUUAGGGCUCAGUGUUUUCUUAAAGCCAGGCUACAGGUUUGAAGCCCGAUGGCACUGGGUGUAGUGACUGAAAGGGCGUGAAUCCUAGAUAAGAGUCUUUAGUGGAAGACUCAAAAGGAUGCGCGGUGGCAUUGGCUCACUGGCUACUGAGAAAAGUAAUGAGAACACUUAGCUUCCAGUCCUAUGUCCCCCGCUGAUUAGCUGUGUGACCUUGAGAAAGGAAUAACUUCUCUGGACCUUGAUUUUUCUCAAUCAUUAAAACAAACAAAAAUAAUUCUGAUCUCUUAUCUGUAAGUCUUUUCAAGCGUGAAGACUGUUUCUGAUUCAUGACCGUUUUUAUACAUGGUAGGUCUUCCAGUUAUUGAGAGUUGCCCUUCUUCCAAGAAGGACACAGGACAGGCUAUUUUCCAUUUUAUUUUUGAAAAAUACACUAGUGACAAUGGUAUGUCAAAUAUUUUAUAACUUCUCUUCUGAUUUUUUUUUCACAAAGAUUUGUUUCAUUUUCAGUUAUCUGCAUGGUGUUAGGGGGUUAUGUAUGCAGGAAUGCAGGUACCCACAGAGGCCAAAAGGGGACAUCAGAUAGCCUGGGACUGGCAUUACAGGUAGGUGUGAGCUGGUAUAAGUGAGUGCUGAAAUUACACUAGGGCCUCUAGAAGAGUGUUAUGUGCUCUUAACUGCCGAGCCAUGCUCCUGCUUUCUAUGGGGUUUUAUAAUACAGAACACUAGGCAUUAUUAUAGUGUUUACAAUUGUUACAAAUAUUACAGAAACAACAACAACAACAAGGCCGGGCUUGGUGGCACACACCUUUAAUCCCAGCACUCAGGAGGCAGGCAGAUUUCUGAGUUUGAGGCCAGCCUGGUCUACAAAGUGAGUUCCAGGACAGCCAGGGCUACACAGAGAAACCCUGUCUCACCCCCCCCUAAACUAAAACAACAACAACAAUAACUCAAAAAAACAAAAACAAACAAAUAAACACCCAAAUAUUACAGAGGAGAAAAUUGAGAGGGAAAAGAUCUUGCCCAGGGAGUGUCAGAUAGUUACCAAUUGUGGAGCUAGGAUUAGGACCUCAGCAGCCAAAUUCUAGAGUUCACUCUUCUAUUCAUUUAGUUUUAUACAGCAUUAAAAUAUAAUCGAUAAUAAUGGCGACACUGGUAUUUUUGUUAAAUGAUAAUGUUAGCAUCUAAUAUAGAAGUGGACAGUAUGGGGCUGGAAGGCUGGCUCAGUGGUAAGAGAAUGCACUGCUUCAGGGAAUCUGGUGCCAUUUUCUAGCCUCCAGGGACACUUGCACUCACAUGAACAUAGCUCCCGCUUGGACACACACACACAGCACGUAAUUAAAAAAAAUUAAGUGACCUGAGCAUGGAGGUUCACUCCUUUAAUCCCAGGACUUGGGAAGCAGGAACAAGCAGGGUCUCUGCUUGAGACCAGCCUGGUUUACAGAGUGAAUUCCAGGAUAGCUGGGGCUACACUGAGAAAUCCAAAAUAGAUAGAUAGAUAGAUAGAUAGAUAGAUAGAUAGAUAGAUAGAUAGAUAGAAUAGUAUGGAGCCAGGCAUUGUGGUACAAGUGUAUACCUUUUUUUUAAAGAUUUAUUUAUUUACUAUAUGUAAGUACGCUGUAACUGUCUUCAGAUACACCAGAAGAGGGAGUCAGAUCUCAUUAUGAAUGGUUGUAAGCCACCAUGUGGUUGCUGGGAAUUGAACUCAGGACCUUCAGAAGAGCAGUCAGUGCUCUUAACCUCUGAGCCAUCUCUCCAGCCCCCAAGUGUAUACCUUUGAUCCCAGCACUCAAGAGGCAGAGGCAAGUAGAUCUCUGUGAGUUCAAGGCCAGCCCUGGUCUACAUGAGUUCAAGGACAGCUAUGUAGAGAGACCUUGUCUCUAAAU
rnacentral:lncRNA from 1 species